ensembl:lncRNA
AACAUUUCUGGGACCUUUUAUUUAUUUUAUAAACACUUUACAUGUCACGUUGAUAUUUUCAGUAUAAAUGGAAUUCAAAUAAUUGAACCGAUGUCAUCAAUUAGUUGUUUAAAAACUGCAAAGAUUACUGUGAUCUCAGUUAAUGCUCAGCACUCGCAGACAGGCAGUCAGACAGACAGACGGUCACCAUAGCAGUCAGACAGGCAGUCAGACAGACAGACGGUCACCAUAGCAGUCAGACAGACGGUCACCAUAGCAGUCAGACAGACAGUCAGACAGACAGACGGUCACCAUAGCAGUCAGACAGACAGUCAGACAGACAGACGGUCACCAUAGCAGUCAGACAGACAGACGGUCACCAUAGCAGUCAGACAGACAGACAGACGGUCACCAUAGCAGUCAGACAGACAGACAGUCACCAUAGCAGUCAGACAGACAGACAGUCACCAUAACGGUCACCAUAGCAGACAGACAGACGGUCACCAUAGCAGUCAGACAGACGGUCACCAUAGUAGUCAGACAGACAGUCAGUCACCAUAGCAGUCAGACAGACAGUCAGACAGGCAGGCAGACAGACGGUCACCAUAGCAGUCAGACAGACAGUCACCAUAGCAGUCAGACAGUCAGACAGGCAGGCAGACAGACGGUCACCAUAGCAGUCAGACAGACAGUCAGACAGACAGUCACCAUAGCAGUCAGACAGACAGUCAGACAGACAGACAGACGGUCACCAUAGCAGUCAGACAGACAGUCAGACAGACAAUCAGUCAGACAGACAGUCAGACAGACGGUCACCAUAGCAGUCAGACAGACAGUCAGACAGACAGUCAGUCAGACAG